rnacentral:rRNA from 1 species
UUAAGCGACUAAGCGUACACGGUGGAUGCCCUGGCAGUCAGAGGCGAUGAAGGACGUGCUAAUCUGCGAUAAGCGUCGGUAAGGUGAUAUGAACCGUUAUAACCGGCGAUUUCCGAAUGGGGAAACCCAGUGUGAUUCGUCACACUAUCAUUAACUGAAUCCAUAGGUUAAUGAGGCGAACCGGGGGAACUGAAACAUCUAAGUACCCCGAGGAAAAGAAAUCAACCGAGAUUCCCCCAGUAGCGGCGAGCGAACGGGGAGCAGCCCAGAGCCUGAAUCAGUGUGUGUGUUAGUGGAAGCGUCUGGAAAGGCGCGCGAUACAGGGUGACAGCCCCGUACACAAAAAUGCACAUGCUGUGAGCUCGAUGAGUAGGGCGGGACACGUGGUAUCCUGUCUGAAUAUGGGGGGACCAUCCUCCAAGGCUAAAUACUCCUGACUGACCGAUAGUGAACCAGUACCGUGAGGGAAAGGCGAAAAGAACCCCGGCGAGGGGAGUGAAAAAGAACCUGAAACCGUGUACGUACAAGCAGUGGGAGCCUCUUUAUGGGGUGACUGCGUACCUUUUGUAUAAUGGGUCAGCGACUUAUAUUCUGUAGCAAGGUUAACCGAAUAGGGGAGCCGAAGGGAAACCGAGUCUUAACUGGGCGUUAAGUUGCAGGGUAUAGACCCGAAACCCGGUGAUCUAGCCAUGGGCAGGUUGAAGGUUGGGUAACACUAACUGGAGGACCGAACCGACUAAUGUUGAAAAAUUAGCGGAUGACUUGUGGCUGGGGGUGAAAGGCCAAUCAAACCGGGAGAUAGCUGGUUCUCCCCGAAAGCUAUUUAGGUAGCGCCUCGUGAAUUCAUCUCCGGGGGUAGAGCACUGUUUCGGCAAGGGGGUCAUCCCGACUUACCAACCCGAUGCAAACUGCGAAUACCGGAGAAUGUUAUCACGGGAGACACACGGCGGGUGCUAACGUCCGUCGUGAAGAGGGAAACAACCCAGACCGCCAGCUAAGGUCCCAAAGUCAUGGUUAAGUGGGAAACGAUGUGGGAAGGCCCAGACAGCCAGGAUGUUGGCUUAGAAGCAGCCAUCAUUUAAAGAAAGCGUAAUAGCUCACUGGUCGAGUCGGCCUGCGCGGAAGAUGUAACGGGGCUAAACCAUGCACCGAAGCUGCGGCAGCGACGCUUAUGCGUUGUUGGGUAGGGGAGCGUUCUGUAAGCCUGCGAAGGUGUACUGUGAGGUAUGCUGGAGGUAUCAGAAGUGCGAAUGCUGACAUAAGUAACGAUAAAGCGGGUGAAAAGCCCGCUCGCCGGAAGACCAAGGGUUCCUGUCCAACGUUAAUCGGGGCAGGGUGAGUCGACCCCUAAGGCGAGGCCGAAAGGCGUAGUCGAUGGGAAACAGGUUAAUAUUCCUGUACUUGGUGUUACUGCGAAGGGGGGACGGAGAAGGCUAUGUUGGCCGGGCGACGGUUGUCCCGGUUUAAGCGUGUAGGCUGGUUUUCCAGGCAAAUCCGGAAAAUCAAGGCUGAGGCGUGAUGACGAGGCACUACGGUGCUGAAGCAACAAAUGCCCUGCUUCCAGGAAAAGCCUCUAAGCAUCAGGUAACAUCAAAUCGUACCCCAAACCGACACAGGUGGUCAGGUAGAGAAUACCAAGGCGCUUGAGAGAACUCGGGUGAAGGAACUAGGCAAAAUGGUGCCGUAACUUCGGGAGAAGGCACGCUGAUACGUAGGUGAAGCGACUUGCUCGUGGAGCUGAAAUCAGUCGAAGAUACCAGCUGGCUGCAACUGUUUAUUAAAAACACAGCACUGUGCAAACACGAAAGUGGACGUAUACGGUGUGACGCCUGCCCGGUGCCGGAAGGUUAAUUGAUGGGGUUAGCGGUAACGCGAAGCUCUUGAUCGAAGCCCCGGUAAACGGCGGCCGUAACUAUAACGGUCCUAAGGUAGCGAAAUUCCUUGUCGGGUAAGUUCCGACCUGCACGAAUGGCGUAAUGAUGGCCAGGCUGUCUCCACCCGAGACUCAGUGAAAUUGAACUCGCUGUGAAGAUGCAGUGUACCCGCGGCAAGACGGAAAGACCCCGUGAACCUUUACUAUAGCUUGACACUGAACAUUGAGCCUUGAUGUGUAGGAUAGGUGGGAGGCUUUGAAGUGUGGACGCCAGUCUGCAUGGAGCCGACCUUGAAAUACCACCCUUUAAUGUUUGAUGUUCUAACGUUGGCCCCUAAUCGGGGUUGCGGACAGUGUCUGGUGGGUAGUUUGACUGGGGCGGUCUCCUCCUAAAGAGUAACGGAGGAGCACGAAGGUUGGCUAAUCCUGGUCGGACAUCAGGAGGUUAGUGCAAUGGCAUAAGCCAGCUUGACUGCGAGCGUGACGGCGCGAGCAGGUGCGAAAGCAGGUCAUAGUGAUCCGGUGGUUCUGAAUGGAAGGGCCAUCGCUCAACGGAUAAAAGGUACUCCGGGGAUAACAGGCUGAUACCGCCCAAGAGUUCAUAUCGACGGCGGUGUUUGGCACCUCGAUGUCGGCUCAUCACAUCCUGGGGCUGAAGUAGGUCCCAAGGGUAUGGCUGUUCGCCAUUUAAAGUGGUACGCGAGCUGGGUUUAGAACGUCGUGAGACAGUUCGGUCCCUAUCUGCCGUGGGCGCUGGAGAACUGAGGGGGGCUGCUCCUAGUACGAGAGGACCGGAGUGGACGCAUCACUGGUGUUCGGGUUGUCAUGCCAAUGGCACUGCCCGGUAGCUAAAUGCGGAAGAGAUAAGUGCUGAAAGCAUCUAAGCACGAAACUUGCCCCGAGAUGAGUUCUCCCUGACUCCCUGAGAGUCCUGAAGGAACGUUGAAGACGACGACGUUGAUAGGCCGGGUGUGUAAGCGCAGCGAUGCGUUGAGCUAACCGGUACUAAUGAACCGUGAGGCUUAACCU